UCCUUCCGCACCGUGCUGGGCUCGGGCUUUAUUCUCACUGCCACUGCACGUGUUGUGUCCUUGCGAGGGCCCCGGGGCCAGGAGACAUCCAGGUGGGGUCCCCGGGCCUCUGUGCUGCCUCAGAGCAGAUUGUGUGGCUGCCAGAACCCCCAGGCUGUGCUCCCCACCCCGUAAGCCUAUAAUGAGUUAAGUGGAGCAAUUACAGCUGCUUGGGGGUAAGUGGAGCUACUUUUGGGUGAGCAACUGGCACCUCGCAGAAUCUCAUUUACCUUCAGCUGUGCGUGGAGAUAAUCCCCUCUACUCUAUCCGUCUCCUCCCAGCCCCGCCUUCAACGAGUCCUCAGUGUCUGCGCGGCCACGGAGGUCACGCGUGCACAAGACCCACCGCCUCCCCACCUCCUCCCAAGGGGGCUCUGUUAGGACAGCAGAUGACACUGAAUACGCACAAACCAGGACAGAAACCUGAGCUAAACGACGCCAAGCCCUGUCUGGAUUGCAGUUCUGCCCGCUGAACAUGGAGGUGGCACAGGAGGAGGCUCUUCCUUCUCCAUGGCUUGUUGGCUCUCUGCUCUCCAGGGCUGGCUCCUUAUCCCUCAGGGGCACCUGCUCAAGGUGGCCUCGCUGAUGUCUCUGUCUUCUGCUUCAGUGACACAAUACCCGAGAUGGAUAUUUAUAUGGAACAGGAGCUUACUCGGCUCCAGGUUUGGGAGGCUGAGAAGCCCAAGAACACUGACCCUGGCAUCUGCUUGAAUCUGCUGAGGGUCUACUGAUUGAGGGCUCAGGAGUUGCAGGGGCAAUUAAGAGAGGACGUCUUUACCUCAUUUGGCAUUUGCGUGUGGGCCCCCUCAUCCAAGUCUUCCAAGUCCCUUUCCAAAGGUUAAGAAGCCAAGGUUCUUCUGUUCCCAUCACCCCUUUCACCCCCAAACUGGAGAAUACCGGGCCACACCUUGAUGGUGCAAAAGUGGCCUCUGACAUAAUCUCAUGAAAGAGCCAAGGACAGGGCGCAGUGUCACACCACCCACACAGCCAAGUGUGUAAAGGUGAUACAGCAACAGUCCUGGGAUGGGGAGAGGAGCCGGGGAGGAAGGAGCGAGGGCAGAGUUCAGAACACUUUUUCUGUAAAGUAUCACAUAGUAGAUAGUUCAGGCUUGACCGUCUCUGUAAAAACUACUCAACUCUGAUGAUGUACCAUGAAUAAUAAAUGUGAC